rnacentral:rRNA from 1 species
GACGAACGCUGGCGGCGUGCCUAACACAUGCAAGUCGAACGGGACCGCAAGGUUCAGUGGCGGACGGGUGCGUAACACGUGAGGAACAUAGCCAACGGCGGGGGAUAGCCGGCCCAACGGCCGGGUAAUACCGCGUACGACCUUUGGGGGGCAUCCCCUGGGGGUGAAAGCAGCAAUGCGCCGAUGGGGUGCCUCGCGGCCUAUCAGCUAGUUGGUGAGGUAACGGCUCACCAAGGCUACGACGGGAGCUGGUCCGAGAGGAUGACCAGCCACAUUGGGACUGAGACACGGCCCAGACUCCUACGGGAGGCAGCAGUGGGGAAUAUUGCGCAAUGGGCGAAAGCCUGACGCAGCGACGCCGCGUGUGGGAUGAAGGUCUUCGGAUUGUAAACCACUGUCGGGGAGGGGACGAAGCUCUGACGGUACCUCCAAAGGAAGCACCGGCUAACUCUGUCGCCAGCCGCCGCA